CGGUGCCUCAGCGGCCGGGCCGGCCCCGCGCGGGAGAGCCCGCCUAGCGGGAGCCGGGCUGCCGGGUGUAGGCUGCCCGGCCGGCCCCCUGCCCGCUGCCGGCUGACAUUUAGUGGAAUGGAGGUAACAUACAUAUGACUCUGAACUUCAGCUUCUGGAUCUAAGGAAGGUCUUUCAUUCAUGCUGAUCUCCAGUUGUAAAGAAACUGUUAUGGCUCAAGCUUGGCAGGCUUCAGAAAAAUUCCAGCACUUGAAUACAUCAAUUAGUAUGCUGAAUAUUGACUCACUGCUUGCUCACGUGACCAACAUUUAAAUUACACUUUCUCAUUUUUUAAGCAUAUUAUAAAUAAUAUUUAAUCCUCACAACCUGAUGAAGUCAGUCGGCAUCAUUUUCCCCUACUAAUGGAAGAAAAGUUUGUAGGAAAAAGUAAGAUAUUUUAUUAGAUGUCAUUACUGCUUUCAGGUUUAUUUCAAGGAAGUGCUCCUAUAAAUUUGCACUGAGCUAACUAAUGAAAACAUACCAAAAGUAAUGGAGGAACUGAUUGUAAUGCCAGGUGACUAAGAAAGAAGAGAAUGCUUUACCGUUAAGUUACCUGUGCUCUAUAGUUCAGCUGUCCUGAAGGAAGUUUGAAGGGAAUUUGAAUUUACCAAUAUGUAAGGGUAACACUUGGACACAGCAGCUCAACAUAACUGACAGUGAGGUGUACUGGUCCCCAAAUUAGUUUUUACAGACUUCACUGACAGCAUCUCCCUUGAGACUGCUUAAAGGACAAGAUUGUACGUUCCAGCUUAGUGAAGGAAUGGGUGCAUCUUUUUCUAGAAAUGAUUUAGCCUGGAAGUCCCAGUUUGCAAAUGUUUUUCAUGCAUUGUCACUUCAAGAAAAGUUGCAGGGAGAAGCUCAGCAAACUUGUCUAACUGAGAACAAGAAAAGCAGCGAGUGAGUCUUUCCUUCUGGGGCACCAGGAGGUGCAAGGAGACAAGGGAAGGAAAGAAAUUGAAGUGGGGAACUAAUUUCCUCAAGAUCUGCCUUCGGCUAACUUGGAGUUUGUGCCUCUGUAGUUGCCAGUUUGAUAUGACACGUUUCCUAGUUAUUUGAUCGCGUUACUUUAUGGAAGGUAGUUACUUUCUAAAGAAUGCAUCAUAUGUGUAUCCUGAAGCAUGUCUGGACACGAGGAACCCCUAUGUUACAGAAAAGAGACAUUUUGGAACAGAAACAACUGUUUUGUUCUUCCCGUGUGUGGAAAUGGACUCCAGAGGAUGUGCUCCAUGGUCCUCCCAGAGAUGAAGAGAAACCGGCUGUCAGAGAUCCUUCUCUCACCUUUCUUACAGAUGGGUGUAACAUCAGUCUUUUCCUGGUCAUUAAGGACUUUCCCCAAUCACUGUGAUCCU